GCGCACCAGUCGAGAAACCUCCACAAUGUGGGAAACCACGAUGGGGGGAUUCCAAGUGGAUGCACUUUUGUGCAUCCUGUUCUCAAGUCUAAAAAACUUGAGAAGUAAGGGCCGGGUAAGACGGGUGCCAGCCGCCGCGGUAAUACCCGCGGCCCGAGUGGUGCUCAUUAUUAUUGAGCCUAAAGCGUCCGUAGCUGGCCGGGUAAAUCCCUGGGGAAAUCGGGCGACUCAAUCGACCGAAGUCCAGGGACACUACUUGGCUUGGGAUCGGGAGAGGGUGAUAGUACUCCCUGGGUAGGGGUAAAAUCCUGUAAUCCAGGGGGGACUACCAGUGGCGAAGGCGAUCACCUAGAACGAAUCCGACAGUGAGGGACGAAGCCCUAGGGCGCAAACGGGAUUAGAUACCCCCGUAGUCC
rnacentral:rRNA from 1 species